CACGUAGGAGGCGAGCGUUAUUCGGAUUUACUGGGCGUAAAGCGCGUGUAGGCGGCUCAAUAAGUUGGAUGUGAAAGCUCCCGGCUUAACUGGGAGAGGACGUUCAAAACUAUAGAGCUUGAGUGUGAGAGAGGAAAAUGGAAUUCCGGGUGUAGUGGUGAAAUGCGUAGAUAUCCGGAGGAACACCAGUGGCGAAGGCGAUUUUCUGGCUCGCAACUGACGCUCAGACGCGAAAGCUAGGGUAGCAAACGGG
rnacentral:rRNA from 1 species